UUUAUGAAACCAUGAUAUAAUGAAAUCAGGAUACACCAAUAUUUUCCUAUUCCUGUACCCAUUUCAUGAGCUAAAGGAGGCCCUGGCCAGAGGAUGGACCUUCAGGUGAGGCUUGUAUUAAUAAAGAAUGACAACCGCUGCUUAAUACAGUCAUUUAUGGUGGAGUUUGAAAUUGCAAUCAGCCUAUUGAAGAAAUUGAGAUAACUACGUUAUCACAGGCAACUACAUUUGUAUCACAGGAAAAAAAAAGGUAUUAAAAAUGCAGGAUAUGGACAGGUGAAGGUCACAAAUGCAUCACUGUUUUCUAUUGGUUACAGGGCUUGGGCAAAAUAUCAGAUUUAAAAGGACCAGUCCUACUUAUAUAAGCAUCUUGGCCUCCUCAGACAUUAUCCCUUCCCAAAUCACCUUUAAUGCAAUUCUGUGAAACUUCCUUCAUGUGCCAUCUUUCACCCAAACACUGAUUCUAUCACUGUGAUCCAGAUAUGAUAUGAUAUCUAUGGCAGCACAGUAACUGCACUGACUCAAUAGGCCACACAUACAAAGAAAUACUCUGUGUACGUAAUAAGCUAUGUAUGUACUGCACAUCUAAAUGGAAAUAAAUGCCAUAUGCAACUUACUAUUAUGAACCUUACUUACAGGGUACACUUCCCCUUUAAGAGCAGGGAACAGAGGUGACUUCACCUUAGGACUGUGACAGUUGGUUCAGUCCGUUGGUUGACACCGUAGUGAUUGGUAAGUGGAUAUUCCCUCUGGGAGAUAUUUUUUGUCAAAUAAUGCUUAUUUUAAUGAAAAAAGAGGGGAAAUAGUUGGGUAACACUCCCCAGACUAACAGAUAUUUAUCCUCUCACUGAUUUUAGUGAAUUUAGAGACUUUUCCCCUAAAAUGGGCUUUGGAGAUGACUUUAAUCUUAGCACUGGUUGGGAGACACAGACUCAGGAUUUGGAAGUUAUGCAGGGCUGACAGCAAAUAUACACCUUUUCUACAGUAACCCCAUAAGGAGGAAUAAAUAGCAAUGCUUCUUCCUUUUACACAAUAACAUUUAUUUAUAAGUCUCAUGAUUUAAGAGCAGAGAUGAGAGGUGACUUUACACCCAGGGAUUUGAUAUUUGGUUUGGUCCGUUGGUUGAGUGGUGAGAGGUAAAUGUGAGAGAUUUUUGUGACAAAUAACCCAUAAUUUAGUCAAAUAAAGGGGGGAAAUAGUUGCGUGAUGCCCCCAGACUAGCGGAUGUUGUUCCUCUUACUGAUUUUAGAGAAUUUUCCCCCUAAAAUGGGCAUUGGAGAUGCUUUUACUCUUAGUGCUGGUUGGGAGACACAGACCCAGGGUUUGACAGUUGGUUUAGUCCGUUGGUUGGUAAACUGGUGAAUGUACUAUCCCUAUAAGAGAUUUAGGGGCUUACAGCAAAUAUACACUUUUUCCCAAUUGAAGCCCAUAAACAGAUAACAUUUGGGGACCCCUGUGCCAGACUAACAGAUAUUGAUUAUGUUACUGAUGUUAUUAAAUUUCCCCCUCAAAUGGACAAUGCCUUUACUUUUAGUGCUGGCUGGGAAAUGCAGACCCAGGGUUUGACAGUUGGUUUAGUCCGUUGGUUGGUAGAGUGGUGAAUGUACUAUCCCUAUAAGAGAUUUUUUGCCAAAUAAUCCUUAUUUUAGUGAAAAGGGGGGUGAUAAAUGUUUGAUACCCCCAAGACUAGCGGAUGAUGCUCCUCUUACUGAUUUUAGAGAAUUUUCCCCCUAAAAUGGGCUUUGGAUAUGCUUUUACACUUAGUGCUGGUUGGGAGACACAGACCCAGGGUUUGACAGUUGGUUUAGUCCGUUGGUUGGUAGACUGGUGAAUGUACUAUCCCUAUAAGAGAUUUAGGGGCUGACAGCAAAUAUACACUUUUUCCCAAUUGAAGCCCAUAAACAGAUGACAUUUGGGGACCCCUGUACCUCACUAUAAAUACUUUAUUUGUAUGACCAGUAUUAACAGGCUCCUUACAGUUUUGCCCCUCUGCCCCUGGGUAUCUAACCUGUUCUGAUAUACCAACCUUAACAUGAAUUUAAUGGAAUACAUAGCAAUGUCUUUUCCUUUCAUGUCUCAUGUGCAUUCCCUUCAAAUGUCCCGGCUGUGGGGGGCAACAGGGUACAUGGUAGGGCAGUAUUGAUUCCAAUCAGAUUUAAUUGCUAUUCUGUAAAUGUUUCCUAUAGCAGGGGGUGGGCAAUCUGCACCUGGCCAGUGAUCUUAUGUACUAUGUAUUCAUACUCUCUAUACCAAUGCUCAUUUCUGAUUGGCUGCUGGGAGGUACUGCAUUGUACAAACUGAGUGCCAGUAAACGCUGGGAGUGACACAAAGCUCACGUUUAGAUCUCUGCUUUCCUCUAUAUUUUAUAGGAAAUAUUAAGUUAAGUGUUAAAAGCAUUAUCCUUGAAACUAAUUUGUCAAUUUAUUCUCUUCCCUAUACAGAUUGCUACAGUGGACGGAUUGCUACUUUUUUGGCAAAUUACCAGCUCUUUUUGGACUGUGUUUUUUCCUGGCUUCUCCUUAGUUCAGAUUUUAACAUUCUUUUCUGAACACAUAUAAGGAGAGCCAGCGUCUAAAGAGGGAGACCCUCUGGGGUCCCCCGGCCUUGUGCCGGCCCCUCUAUUUAAGCCAAAAGCCAAAAACACCUCAGGCGUUUUGGUAUUUUUUUUUUGCUUUUUAUUUUUGAAGAUCUGACAUCUGAGCUUCUUUUAAGAGGAGUCUCAAGAUGGGUGUCCGGAAUUCCUGCAUUCGUGCUACCAAUCCGGACAAUCAUGAGGUUUUGUCUCCAAAACUUUGUGAUAUGCAGCCAAGGUUACAUCUAUUGGCCAAUAAAGAGCAGGUAAUGGGAGAAAUAAAGAAGGAGAUGCGCAUUGCAGCGGGCGCUGAAAAGCUCUACAGAGUGACCUCAGACAAGGAGACCUUAGUCCGUCUGAGGAAGUUUAUGAAGGAGUCGGGGAAAAAGCUGAAAAUUCUUUAUGCCACCCUUCAAAACCUGAAUGUGGCAAUUGCACAGAAGGACCCUGAGAUUCACCCAGGUUCUCCCCAUGACCCACCAACAAAUGCCCCAGAGGA